rnacentral:rRNA from 1 species
GACGAACGCUGGCGGCGUGCUUAACACAUGCAAGUCGAACGGAAAGGCCUCUUUCGGGGGGUACUCAAGUGGCGAACGGGUGAGUAACACGUGAGUAACCUGCCCUUGACUUUGGGAUAACUUCAGGAAACUGGGGCUAAUACCGGAUAGGAGCUCCUGCUGCAUGGUGGGGGUUGGAAAGUUUCGGCGGUUGGGGAUGGACUCGCGGCUUAUCAGCUUGUUGGUGGGGUAGUGGCUUACCAAGGCUUUGACGGGUAGCCGGCCUGAGAGGGUGACCGGCCACAUUGGGACUGAGAUACGGCCCAGACUCCUACGGGAGGCAGCAGUGGGAAAUAUUGCACAGUGGGUGAAGCCUGAUGCAGCAACGCCGUGGGCGGGAUGACGGCCUUCGGGUUGUAAACCGCUUUCGCUCAUGACGAAGCUUUGUGUGACGGUAGUGGGUAAAGAAGCACCGGCUAACUACGUG